GGUUUCGUGGUGUAGUCGGUCAUCACAUCUGUCUUACACACAGAAGGUCGGCGGUUCGAAUCCGCCCGGAACCA
rnacentral:tRNA from 1 species